UGCCAGUAGUCAUAUGCUUGUCUCAAAGAUUAAGCCAUGCAUGUCUCAGUACAAGCCAAAUUAAGGUGAAACCGCGAAAGGCUCAUUAAAUCAGUUAUGGUUCCUUAGAUCGUACCCACAAUUACUUGGAUAACUGUGGUAAUUCUAGAGCUAAUACAUGCAAACAGAGCUCCGACCGGAGACGGAAGGAGUGCUUUUAUUAGAUCAAAACCAAUCGGUGGCGGGCUCGCUCGUCAUCGUACAACUUGGUGACUCUGAAUAACUUUACGCUGAUCGCACGGUCAUCGCACCGGCGACGCAUCUUUCAAAUGUCUGCCUUAUCAACUGUCGAUGGUAGGUUCUGCGCCUACCAUGGUUGUAACGGGUAACGGGGAAUCAGGGUUCGAUUCCGGAGAGGGAGCCUGAGAAACGGCUACCACAUCCAAGGAAGGCAGCAGGCGCGCAAAUUACCCACUCCCGGCACGGGGAGGUAGUGACGAAAAAUAACGAUACGG
rnacentral:rRNA from 1 species